AGCGAACGCUGGCGGCAGGCCUAACACAUGCAAGUCGAACGAACUCUUCGGAGUUAGUGGCGGACGGGUGAGUAACACGUGGGAACGUGCCUUUAGGUUCGGAAUAACUCAGGGAAACUUGUGCUAAUACCGAAUGUGCCCUUCGGGGGAAAGAUUUAUCGCCUUUAGAGCGGCCCGCGUCUGAUUAGCUAGUUGGUGAGGUAAAGGCUCACCAAGGCGACGAUCAGUAGCUGGUCUGAGAGGAUGAUCAGCCACAUUGGGACUGAGACACGGCCCAAACUCCUACGGGAGGCAGCAGUGGGGAAUCUUGCGCAAUGGGCGAAAGCCUGACGCAGCCAUGCCGCGUGAAUGAUGAAGGUCUUAGGAUUGUAAAAUUCUCUCACCGGGGACGAUAAUGACGGUACCCGGAGAAGAAGCCCCGGCUAACUUCGUG
rnacentral:rRNA from 1 species